GGGGAUUUAGCUCAGCGGCAUAAGCACUUGCCUUGUAAGCAAGUGGUCGUGAGUACCGAUCCCCG
rnacentral:tRNA from 1 species